rnacentral:sRNA from 1 species
UCUACUUUAAGUUUUUUAUUUCAGAAUUGGACUUUCCAUGCAAAUACAAACUAAACAUCAUCUUCUUUUACCCCAUGAGCAUGAGAUUGGUUUUUUUCUUUUUUGGAUUUCUUUCUGUUUUGAGUGAGGGAUUCACAUAUUCCAGGUUGACCUCAAAAAGGAUGCUCUUCUGUUCCUCGUGACGCUACCUCCCCCAGGAAUGACAGCUUUGCAGAUGAAUAACUGCUGCGGAGAAAAGCCUGAGAAAACAGGAUGAAGAUUCUAUGUGUGUUGAUUUGGCAACACAGAAUAACGUUGUACAGAAUUUUUCAAAGAGACCCUGAGGAGAUUGCUCCUUUGGUAAAGCGUUUGCUGUGGUAAAAUGGAAACCUGAUCACCAGCACCUACAAAAGAAGCCGGGCAUAGUGGCACAGGCCUCUCAUCCCAGCGUUCAGAUGAUGGAGACUAAUGGAUCCCUGAGGCUUGCUGGUCUACCAGCCUCAAGUAGACUCAUUGAGCACCAGAUGAUUUUGCCAUCUCAAUGAAUACAUGAAGAGUAUUUUUUAAGGAAGUGUGUAGUGGUGGCCAUUUUCAAGGCAGAACACAGAAGCUGCAGAGAAUGGAAGCAUCAUGGAGAAAAUGGCAGGGAGACCCAAGACUCCAAGACAAGAAGGAUGAAGUAAAAGAAGCAAUCAGGAAAGAAGCAUUGCUGUCCAUGGGCAGAACUAUCCCAGGAAGUUAAUCGCGAUAAACACAAGAACUUAUUCUGAAGAAUAUACCAUGGUCAAUGUCUAUGGUUAUUACAGUCAGGUCAUAAAGUACAGAUGAAAAAAAAAGGAAACAGCAUGUAACUCGGAAAUACCAAGAAGGACUCAUUUUGCAAAUGGUUCACCUAUGCCAUGAUAAAUCUGUGAGGUGAAGAGAGAUGCCUGAAAAGGAGGUUUCAGGGCUGAGAUGAGAGCUUUUCUUUUUUCUUUCCAAACAUGUAUCUGCUAGAAGCACUGGCGCCAAGCAGCGUCCCCUCUGUGCCUCUCCCUGCCUGGAGAUCCGUACUGAAAUCACUGCGGGCAUCUGACUGCUUCACGUAGCCCGGGGAAGUUUUACUGUGGGUCUUCUCAGAGCCAAAACCAGAAAGAAGCACUUCUGAAAAAACCCAACGAAGCUGAAAGAAGCGGUUUUUUGCAGCGGUACCUGCCAGCGAGACUUGUUCCUUUGCCACAAGGGGUGCUGGGCAAAAGCCUCUAUCCCUCAUUAAAUCAAUAAAAUCAAGUGUCCUUUAUUUUAAUCUUCUGCUCUAUAAUCGAGUAUCAGGGAGAGGGCCCAGGCUGUUUUAUCUCAUUGUUUCAGAACAGAUCAUUUGGAUGGAACUGACAAAAGGUUCAUUCCUUACCUUUGUGGAAAUGUCAGUAAAAAGGCAGGUGCUAGGCAUUUGGAGUCUUUUUGCUCUAUACAAGAAGAAAAAGAAAGAGGAGGAGGAAAAAAAAGAAGUGAGAG